rnacentral:snRNA from 1 species
AACUUUGCACAGUGGCAGUAUCAUAACCAAUGAAGUUAAUCUGAGGUAUGAUUAUUGCUAGUUGAAAAAUUCACUCAUCUG